CACGUAGGGCGCGAGCGUUGUCCGGAAUUAUUGGGCGUAAAGAGCUCGUAGGCGGCCUGUUGCGUCCGCUGUGAAAGCCCGGGGCUUAACCCCGGGUCGGCAGUGGAUACGGGCAGGCUAGAGGUAGGUAGGGGAGAAUGGAAUUCCCGGUGUAGCGGUGAAAUGCGCAGAUAUCGGGAGGAACACCGGUGGCGAAGGCGGUUCUCUGGGCCUUACCUGACGCUGAGGAGCGAAAGCGUGGGGAG
rnacentral:rRNA from 1 species